CUUGGUGCGACUUUUCUUGUAACCAAAGGCCCUUUCUGCCUUGUGUAGGACCUGGCUGUCCCUCCCUCUUGUGUUUUGUCUGACUUUAAAAUAGCAUUAUACAGAGAAAAUGAUGACUCCAGAAUACCCUUCCUAGCUGCAUAGGCAGAGUCUGACAGAACUCCUAUAGAGACAACCAUCAAAACAGUAUAAACGAAGCAAAAGAAGAGUUUUCCAUUUUGGUUUUUGUCGGCGUUUUUUUUUUUUUCCUUUCACUUAUAUUUGUGUGUACUGUGGGAAUAUAGCUUCCCCCACACAAGUGUAACACAAGUUAGAAUAUUAUAAAUUUUUCUACCAACCCUCCAUGGGCUAAAAAGGAACACAGAGUCUCAGGCCGCAUGUACCUGACCCGGGUACAUGUGUUUACACGCACUGGGAAAUCUUGGGUUGCCAAGAUGAAGAUGAAUCUGACAGAUGGGUCUCAGCAGUGAAGACAAAAGCCAGGGGAUGGGGACAGAGGCCACUUGAACAUGGUGGUCCACCUGGCCUGACCCAACCAGAGCAAAAGGAAGUGAGAUACCCAAAUAACUCCAGGGGCUGGAGGCGGAGAUCUCCCGGUCCGGUUAUGAAAUCAACAGGACUAUCAAAAAGCCAGCUGAACCGGAGUCCCAGCAUCCACCACGUCAUCAGAAAAGGCCAGGCGUCGGACUGCUGUGCGCACCUGUCGCACCGGGAAAGCCUUACUGUGAACAAGCUGCAGCCUUGUCUCUGUCUCUUCUCCCGAGAAGAUCCACAUCUCUAAGGAGGAAACAAGACGCAACAGCAUCCUCUUCUAUACAACUGUAAUGUCUAUGUCCCCUGGCUGUCACUCUUAAGAAUCCAGGUAUGCAGGAGCAAGCCAGGUGAAGACGGGUGCAAUUGGGACCUGGGCUGCUGGGAGCUCAGACAGAGCUCGGACGCUUGCUUCCCUUCCCAAAUCUUAAAGGACUGUGCUUUCUGUAAUUUCCCAGAAAUAUUAGAAUCAAGACCCUCCUGCAAGCAAACUUGUCUCUGAGCUCAGGAGCAUUCCUGAGUCCCUCCUGGCUAGAUUGUCCCCAAGUCCGGCUAUCCUGCUUCCCAGGGCCACCAACUGGAUCCAAGGACCAGGGUGUGUGCAGGCUCCAGCAAAUCUCAGAACAAUGUGCUGUGUGUCUCCAUUCCAUUUCUCACAGUCUUACCAAAAAUCAGUGGCCAGACAGCCUUGUAGCCAAACGCUGAGGAGUGACAGACAGCCCAAAGCUGUGAUCUCCCCACCCAGCCCCUCGCAGCGGCGCCAAGGUGAGACUUGAGGCAAGGGUGGCAGUAUUUUUCCAGCUUCUGCUUUUCCCAGUCUCCAAUCCUUGGUCAGUCUUGAACAUCCGAGUCUCCAGUCCUUGGUCAGUCCUGAACAUCCAUUGGAAACAAUUUUGAGCCUAGGCUCAGGUGGUGGACAGACUCCACAUGGAGUGAAGGGGUCUGCCAACCAUCAGCUUCCAUGGGACAAGAAAAGCCAAUCAGAUCACCUCCCAUGCCCAACCAGUCACCUACCUGCCUCAGCUCUGGACUCUGAGCUCUGCCAGCACCAGAAAUUUGAGUCAAGCCAGAUCAGCCCUAUCAGACAGCGAUGGUGUUCCCACUGAAAGAACCCCAAGAGGAUGCUGCCCAAAUGCAAAUUUAAUAUUCUGGUGGUUGGAUUGUCUUUCCUCCCCCUUGGGUUUGUUCUGUUGUGUGGUGUUGGGGACCUAACUAGGGCCUUGGCUCUGUCAGACAAGUGCUCCACCCUGCGCUACAUCUGCAGCCCCUGAAUGUAUUAAUUUGGAAUGUGGUUCUGAUCAGUUUCUCCCAUCCCUAAAAUUCCUGGUAAUUUAGUUUGUUCCAGAGCCAAAUAAAACAGACAAGAUUU
ensembl:lincRNA